AUGGAGAGUGCGUGCUUUGGAUUCAAGACUGGGAAUGAGGGGACCAGAAACCUAUUCUGUGGCUGUUUCUUGUUAGGACUUUCCUAAGCCUCUGGAAAAGUGCAAAGUACAAUUAACAUUUGAGUCUGUCUGAGUCAUGAAGAAAUGGAGAUUACUGAAAAUAAUUCAUUUUGGUAUCUUCUUACAUCCUGAGAGACUAAUCUUUCCAAGUUCAUCUGAGGCUCCUCUUCUCCAUGACAACCUCAUCCAGGGAUUUCUUCCUGUCCUGGUGUUUUAUGACAUAAUCACAUCCUUCCUGAGAUAAUGAGCACACAAUUGCCUGGAUACCUGAAGGAAUGGAGACAGCCGCAGAAAACACUGCAGAGAGGUGGAAACAUCCGUUAAUAUUUUAAAAUCCCAUUACUGCUACCAACAAUAAUAAUGGAUGCAUAGAAAUAGAUCUGGAUUAGCUGAGCUUGAAACAGUCCAUCUCACACACACGCAAAAGAAUUUCAGAUACAGUGAACCCACACGUUGAAGCUUUCUAGUAUAAUAAAAAUUUCAACUGUUCUGUUGAAUCAUCUGCCUGAUUGGAGGCUACAGAAAAGAUGUCAUCUUAGGAGUGCUUGCUCUGAGUGAGGCUCAUCUUCAAAUCUGAAUGACCACAAGGAGAUUUGAUUAUACAUGUGAACACCUCUGAAGGCACAGCCCGCCCAGAAGGCAGACAG
rnacentral:lncRNA from 1 species